GUGCCAGCCGCCGCGGUAAUACGGAGGGUGCGAGCGUUGUCCGGAAUCACUGGGCGUAAAGGGCGCGUAGGCGGCUUGGGAAGUCCGUGGUGAAAGCUCGUGGCUCAACUACGAGUCGGCCAUGGAUACUCCUAAGCUCGAGUCGACUAGAGGCAGAUGGAAUUCCGGGUGUAGCGGUGGAAUGCGUAGAGAUCCGGAAGAACACCGGUGGCGAAGGCGGUCUGCUGGGGUCGAACUGACGCUGAGGCGCGACAGCGUGGGGAGCAAACAGGAUUAGAAACCCUUGUAGUCC
rnacentral:rRNA from 1 species